rnacentral:lncRNA from 1 species
AUCUGUCUGGUCGGAUGACAACAAAGAGAAUGGAGGAAGCAAGUUCCCAUUUGCAGGCGACUUCACUUCUGUCUAAUCGGGUGACAACGAGGAUGGAGGAAGCAGGUUCCACUUUGCAGUCGCUCCUAUCUGGUGGGGUGAUGACAAGAAGGAUGGAGGAAGCAAGUCCUAUUUUGCAGGCAACACUCCUUCCAUCUGGUCGGGUAUCAAGGAUGGAUGAAGCAAGUCCCAAUUUGCAGGCAACAUGGAGCCCUUCUCCUACUAAUGACAGAAUUGGACUUCAUUCACACAUUACCGCAACUGCUGAUCAUCAACAUACUCGACC